rnacentral:rRNA from 1 species
AAUAGAUACCCUGGUAGUCCACGCCGUAAACGAUGAGUGCUAAGUGUUAGAGGGUUUCCGCCCUUUAGUGCUGCAGCUAACGCAUUAAGCACUCCGCCUGGGGAGUACGGCCGCAAGGCUGAAACUCAAAGGAAUUGACGGGGGCCCGCACAAGCGGUGGAGCAUGUGGUUUAAUUCGAAGCAACGCGAAGAACCUUACCAGGUCUUGACAUCCUCUGCCAACCCUAGAGAUAGGGCGUUCCCCUUCGGGGGACAGAGUGACAGGUGGUGCAUGGUUGUCGUCAGCUCGUGUCGUGAGAUGUUGGGUUAAGUCCCGCAACGAGCGCAACCCUUGAUCUUAGUUGCCAGCAUUCAGUUGGGCACUCUAAGGUGACUGCCGGUGACAAACCGGAGGAAGGUGGGGAUGACGUCAAAUCAUCAUGCCCCUUAUGACCUGGGCUACACACGUGCUACAAUGGAUGGUACAAAGAGCUGCGAACCCGCGAGGGUAAGCCAAUCUCAUAAAGCCAUUCUCAGUUCGGAUUGU